AAUAGAUACCCCGGUAGUCCAUGCCGUAAACGUUGGGCACUAGGUGUGGGGGGCAUUCCACGUUCUCCGCGCCGUAGCUAACGCAUUAAGUGCCCCGCCUGGGGAGUACGGUCGCAAGGCUAAAACUCAAAGGAAUUGACGGGGGCCCGCACAAGCGGCGGAGCAUGCGGAUUAAUUCGAUGCAACGCGAAGAACCUUACCAAGGCUUGACAUACACUGGACCGUUCUGGAAACAGUUCUUCUCUUUGGAGCUGGUGUACAGGUGGUGCAUGGUUGUCGUCAGCUCGUGUCGUGAGAUGUUGGGUUAAGUCCCGCAACGAGCGCAACCCUCGUUCUAUGUUGCCAGCACGUGAUGGUGGGAACUCAUAGGAGACUGCCGGGGUCAACUCGGAGGAAGGUGGGGAUGACGUCAAAUCAUCAUGCCCUUUAUGUCUUGGGCUUCACGCAUGCUACAAUGGCUGGUACAGAGAGAGGCGAACCCGUGAGGGUAAGCGAAUCCCUUAAAGCCAGUCUCAGUUCGGAUCGUAGU
rnacentral:rRNA from 1 species